GGCAGGGAGCGCAGCUACACAUGCAGUCGAACGGUAGCACAGAGAGCUUGCUCUCGGGUGACGAGUGGCGGACGGGUGAGUAAUGUCUGGGAAACUGCCUGAUGGAGGGGGAUAACUACUGGAAACGGUAGCUAAUACCGCAUAACGUCUUCGGACCAAAGAGGGGGACCUUCGGGCCUCUUGCCAUCGGAUGUGCCCAGAUGGGAUUAGCUAGUAGGUGGGGUAACGGCUCACCUAGGCGACGAUCCCUAGCUGGUCUGAGAGGAUGACCAGCCACACUGGAACUGAGACACGGUCCAGACUCCUACGGGAGGCAGCAGUGGGGAAUAUUGCACAAUGGGCGCAAGCCUGAUGCAGCCAUGCCGCGUGUAUGAAGAAGGCCUUCGGGUUGUAAAGUACUUUCAGCGGGGAGGAAGGGAGUGAGGUUAAUAACCUCAUUCAUUGACGUUACCCGCAGAAGAAGCACCGGCUAACUCCGUGCCAGCAGCCGCGGUAAUACGGAGGGUGCAAGCGUUAAUCGGAAUUACUGGGCGUAAAGCGCACGCAGGCGGUCUGUCAAGUCGGAUGUGAAAUCCCCGGGCUCAACCCGGGAACUGCAUUCGAAACUGGCAGACUCGAGUCUUGUAGAGGGGGGUAGAAUUCCAGGUGUAGCGGUGAAAUGCGUAGAGAUCUGGAGGAAUACCGGUGGCGAAGGCGGCCCCCUGGACAAAGACUGACGCUCAGGUGCGAAAGCGUGGGGAGCAAACAGGAUUAGAACCCCUGG
rnacentral:rRNA from 1 species